rnacentral:rRNA from 1 species
UACGUAGGGUGCGAGCGUUGUCCGGCAUUAUUUGGCGUAAAGAGCUCGUAGGCGGUUUGUCGCGUCGGCCGUGAAAUCUCCACGCUUAACGUGGAGCGUGCGGUCGAUACGGGCAGACUUGAGUUCGGUAGGGGAGACUGGAAUUCCUGGUGUAGCGGUGAAAUGCGCAGAUAUCAGGAGGAACACCGGUGGCGAAGGCGGGUCUCUGGGCCGAUACUGACGCUGAGGAGCGAAAGCGUGGGGAGCGAACAGG